AGAGUUGAUCCUGGCUAGGAUGAACGCUGGCGGCGUGCCUAAUACAUGCAAGUCGAACGAAGCACCGUCGGUGCUUAGUGGCGAACGGGUGAGUAACACGUGGGUAACCUGCCCUCAAGACGAGGAUAACCGUUGGAAACGAUGGCUAAGACUGGAUAGGAAUACGGGAGGCAUCUUCUGUAUUUUAAAAGACCUGGCAACAGGUAUGCUUGAGGAGGGGCCUGCGGCGCAUUAGUUAGUUGGUGAGGUGAUGGCUCACCAAGACGAUGAUGCGUAGCCGGACUGAGAGGUUGAACGGCCACAUUGGAACUGAGAUACGGUCCAAACUCCUACGGGAGGCAGCAGUGGGGAAUAUUGGGCAAUGGAGGAAACUUACCUUACCCAGCAAUGCCGCGUGAGUGAAGAAGGUCUUCGGAUUGUAAAGCUCUUUGAUUGGGACGAAUAAAUGACGGUACCCAAGGAACAAGCCCCGGCUAACUAUGUGCCAGCCGCAGC
rnacentral:rRNA from 1 species